rnacentral:lncRNA from 10 species
GAAAUUCCAACGGCAUCGCACUGUGCGGCCUCUUCUGAGGUUCCUCUCUCAUUGGGCAGGGAUGUGUUCUUCCUCGGUCUCAUCAUUGCAUCUCUAGCACUAGUGGGAGAUGUCAAUAAGUGUUUAAUGAAUGAAUGCAUGAACAUGCCACACCAGUGACCUCAGCUUAUGGUGAAAGACACGAGGAGUUAAUUAACUUAGGAAGCCCAGACUCCCACACUAUUAGUGAGGGACAAAAAUCUUCAGUAACUUCCAAAACAACAAGGAAAGGCAAAGAAAAGUCUUCUGAGAAAGAAAAGACAGCCAAAGAAAAACAAGCACCUCGCUUUGAGCCUCAGAUAUCCACUGUUCACCCUCAACAAGAAGACCCAAAUAAACCCUACUGGAUUUUGAGGCUUCUCAGGCUCGUUUGCAUUACCUUAGCGGGUUCAUUA